UCUCUCAGUCUCUCUCUUUCUCAGUCCAAGCCUAACUCAUUUACUAAAUUAGCCAAUUUUAGCCUAAACCUGAACCACGGCUCAUCAUCCAAUCAACCCACUUAAAAUUUAUCAAGCCCGACCUGGUCCGAUCUGGCCGGUUUAGUUGUAAAGGGGCGAGCUUACAUGACCCAACCCAACUUGGUAUGACCCAACCCAAGUUUAAGAAUGCCAUAUGCAAUGCAGUGCUCAACUUAAAAUUCAUCUAUAAAUUUUUUUUUUUCUUUAUUUUGUAUUGGGUUUUGGGUUUGGAUGAAUAGGGUUUUCAACCCAAGCUCAACUUAUUUACUUAAAUGGGUUAAAUUUCUAGGCUAAGGCUUACUUGCUGCUCAUUUAGCAUAACUUGAACUAGCCUCAAAAGCAGGUUGGGCGAGUUGACCAGCAGGCCAACCUGAUGAAUUGUCAUCCUUAGAUCCAGUGUCCUAAAAUCACUAUAAGUGAUCUGAACCGUCCAUUAAAUGUGGCAUACAUUCCAUGGUAACCAAGUAGAAAUUACACCGUUGGCGCAGCUUAAAAUUCAUUUAUAGUUUUCUUCUUUAUUUUGUUUUGGGUUUUGAGUUUGGAUGAGUAGGGUUCACCCACUGCUCAUUUAGGUUGACUCGAACUAGCCUCAAAAGCAGGUUGGGUCAGUUGACCAAGUGGGCCAACAUGAUGAAAUGCCAUCCCUAGAUCCAGUGCCCUAAAAUCAUUACAGGCGAUCUGAACCGUCCAUUAAAUGUGGCAUACAUUCCAUGGGAACCAAGUAGAAAUCACACCGUUCAGGCAAUUUUUCACAUCCUAUCAGUGGCCUUGAAAUGGAUGGAGAAGAUCAUUGAUUGGAAAAUGAAUGAAAAGAUGAGUUCAGCUA